GAGGGUAUAGCUCAGUGGUAGAGCACGUGCUCAGCAUGCAUGAGGUCCUGGGUUCAAUCCCCAGUACCUCCU
rnacentral:tRNA from 1 species